rfam:Myotis brandtii contig153721, whole genome shotgun sequence.
GGCGGGUCUCGGAUGACACACCCCAGAACUGGGCUGCUUCCUCUCUGGUUCAGGGUGCAUCACCCGAGAACCACA